rnacentral:misc_RNA from 1 species
CUGAUAUAUAAAUACAUCUAAUAUCAGUGUGUGUCCACGAGUUAGUAAUUUUAUUUUAUUUUAUUGAAGACAGAUUAGUUGUAAGUUGAUUAGCACUUGAUGACUUCCAUGUUUGUCACAUAAUUAGUCUUCUGGGGUGUAAUCAGAGGGACAGUAAUAUAGGAAUGAAGCCUUUCAUGUCAUCUCUAUCACUGCCUAAUAAUUUGCAGAUAGUAGUAAAUUGACCACUGAAGAGGAUUCUUUUGUUUUCAGCUUCUCUCAAGCGAGCAAGUGGCUGGUGUUUUGACGAGAAACUCUUUCUGCAAUCACUUUACAAGGUAUUGAUUUCAAUAUCAGAAAGAAG